CCUUGGGCAUGUGCUGUAUUUUGCUGUAGAUGAAUGUGAUGCAAGGCUGAGAGAAAAUUGUGCAUACCAGGGGAGAGAGAGAAUCCUGGGAAAGUUUAUGGGACA